CUUCUGAGCGCCAUUUUUGAUUUAAUGGCGGUUUCUUUUUAACACAAUUCACAGCUGUACCAAAAAGUCGUGUAUUUGUUACUUUACAUCCACCUGAAAAUCAUCUAUGUGUACCUGAUAGCUCUAUAACAAGACACGUCUCCUUCCAGUGUGUUUAUUAUUUUAAAAUGAUCUCUGUAGCACAUUUUAUGAACGCAGGACUGGUUAAACGUCGACGUUUUCGAUGACAGCCAUCCAGGACUUCAUCCACUUCCGCGUUUACACACCUGUAGCUCCAGGUCUUUACUUCUCCUCUCAGACUGCUCCGAGCCUGCAGGUGCGUUACAGCCCGGAGUCUUUAAGACACUUACACUUGUUCUGAUCUGAGAGCUGACAAGUACUGAGCAGAUUCUCCUGAACCAGGCUGUUUUUCUAUAAAGGCUGACUGGCCAUGGAACUCUUUCCUGAUGUCACAAGGCAAGGUUCAAUUUUUAAUUUAAGUCAAAUUAUCUUUCUGAGCACAAAUUCUAGACAAAUAUUUCAUUUAUUUUUUCAUUGCUCCUUUUCUUUUAGCACUGGGGAGGAGUGUCCUGUUGGGAGGCAUCUGCGCGUGCUUUCUGAUGACUGGUUUGAGGAGAUAAAUGAUCUGAAGUAAGUCAGAGACACUGUUUGAACUCAAAUUCUCAAUAAGCAGCAUAACUUCACUGUAUUUAUAACACUACUCUGACAUAACUGCAUUAUUUAUUUAACUCUCUUCUCCACCUCUUUUACUGAUUCAUCAAUUGUUUUAACCUUCUUAAUCUUUCUUUCGUCCUCUUCAUCUUAUUCUUUAAAAGCAUCAGAUUAAUCUAGACUCAAAGACUAUAAAGGUUCUCACAACACUUCUUUUCUUUGCUUUUAAUCUAUAAUAUCUGUCAGUCUCUGUGAACUCUUGUUAACAUAUUAUAAUACACAACACGAGUCACACAUGACUUGUGAACAUGUAAAUGUGUGAAUGUGAUCAGGCUCAGUGAACCCUCCAUGAAUAUAUACACAGCACAUGUUCUGUCUGUAGCUUUGUUAUUAAAUGUAAUGAGAAACAUUCACCUGCAGGAUCUGAUAAAUCUUUAACCUCUGUAACAUUAAUGAUUCUACGUCUCUGUGUUGAACAUGGAGAAGUAAUCAGAUCUUGAGAGGACAGAAUGAGAGUGUGAGAAGAAAGAGAACAAAGUUCCCUUCAUAUUCACCUCUUUAAGUUACUUUUUGACUGUUAAUGUGAUAUGAAUCUUUGGUUGGUCUGUUGGUUGGAGAUUAAAUUUAACUUUAUUUGGACUGUCGUCUCUUAUUUUUAUGGCCUCUUGACCGUUAUCACCUUUUUUCUCCAGGACACUUCUGCAAACCCUGGAAGAUUUACGCAAACGGUAAGUCAAACGACUUUUCUGAGCACAAAUUCUCUAAAAAUAGUCAGUA
rnacentral:lncRNA from 1 species